GCUUCCGUAGCUCAGCCUGGAUAGAGCGUCGCCCUUCUAAGGCGAAAGUCGCAGGUUCAAAUCCUGCCGGAAGCG
rnacentral:tRNA from 1 species